rnacentral:rRNA from 1 species
CAGCCGCCGCGGGAAUACGUAGGUGGCAAGCGUUGUCCGGAAUUAUUGGGCGUAAAGGGCUCGCAGGCGGUUUCUUAAGUCUGAUGUGAAAGCCCCCGGCUCAACCGGGGAGGGUCAUUGGAAACUGGGAAACUUGAGUGCAGAAGAGGAGAGUGGAACUCCACGUGUAGCGGCGAAAUGCGUAGAGAUGUGGAGGAACACCAGUGGCGAAGGCGACUCUCUGGUCUGUAACUGACGCUGAGGAGCGAAAGCGUGGGGAGCGAACAGGAUUAGAUACCCCUGUAGUCCCUGUCUCUUAUAC